CCUACGGGAGGCAGCAGUGAGGAAUAUUGGUCAAUGGCCGCAGGGCUGAACCAGCCAAGUCGCGUGAGGGCUGACGGUCCUAUGGAUUGUAACCCUCUUUUGUCAGGGAGCAAAGGGCGCCACGUGUGGCGCUUUGCGAGUACCUGAAGAAAAAGCAUCGGCUAACUCCGUGCCAGCAGCCGCGGUAAUACGGAGGAUGCGAGCGUUAUCCGGCUUUAUUGGGUUUAAAGGGUGCGCAGGCGGAAUGUCAAGUCAGCGGUAAAAUUUCGGGGCUCACCCCCGUCGUGCCGUUGAAACUGGCGUUCUUGAGUGAGCGAGAAGUAUGCGGAAUGCGUGGUGUAGCGGUGAAAUGCAUAGAUAUCACGCAGAACUCCGAUUGCGAAGGCAGCAUACCGGCGCUCAACUGACGCUCAUGCACGAAAGCGUGGGUAUCGAACAGGAUUAGAUACCCGGGUAGUC
rnacentral:rRNA from 1 species